rnacentral:rRNA from 1 species
UACAGAGGUCUCAAGCGUUGUUCGGAUUCAUUGGGCGUAAAGGGUGCGUAGGCGGCGCGGUAAGUCGGGUGUGAAAUCUUCGGAGCUUAACUCCGAAACUGCAUUCGAUACUGCCGUGCUUGAGGACUGGAGAGGAGACUGGAAUUUACGGUGUAGCGGUGAAAUGCGUAGAUAUCGUAAGGAAGACCAGUGGCGAAGGCGGGUCUCUGGACAGUUCCUGACGCUGAAGCACGAAGGCCAGGGGAGCAAACGGG